AGUGAACGCUGGCGGUAGGCCUAACACAUGCAAGUCGAACGGCAGCACAGUAAGAGCUUGCUCUUACGGGUGGCGAGUGGCGGACGGGUGAGGAAUACAUCGGAAUCUACUUUUUCGUGGGGGAUAACGUAGGGAAACUUACGCUAAUACCGCAUACGACCUACGGGUGAAAGCAGGGGAUCUUCGGACCUUGCGCGAUUGAAUGAGCCGAUGUCGGAUUAGCUAGUUGGCGGGGUAAAGGCCCACCAAGGCGACGAUCCGUGGCUGGGCGGAGAGGAUGACCAGCCACACGGGAACUGGAACACGGUCCAUGCUCCUACGGAAGGCAGCAGAGGGGAAUAUUGGACAAUGGGCGCAAGCCUGAUCCAGCCAUACCGCGUGGGUGAAGAAGGCCUUCGGGUUGUAAAGCCCUUUUGUUGGGAAAGAAAAGCAGCAGGUUAAUACCCCGCUGUUCUGACGGUACCCAAAGAAUAAGCACCGGCUAACUUCGUG
rnacentral:rRNA from 1 species